AGACCGAUAGCGAACAAGUAGAGUGAUCGAAAGAUGAAAAGCACUUUGUAAAGAGAGUUAAACAGCACGUGAAAUUGUUGAAAGGGAAGCGCUUGCGACCAGACUCCCCCGCGUGGUUCAGGCGGCAUUCGUGCCGGUGUACUUCUCGUGGGCGGGCCAGCGUCGGUUUGGGCGGCCGGUCAAAGGCCCCUGGAAUGUAGUGCCCUCCGGGGUACCUUAUAACCAGGGGCACAAUCGCCCAACCUGGACCUAGGAACACGCUCCGCUUAGGAGCUGCA
rnacentral:rRNA from 1 species